UACAUGGGGUGCAAACGUUGCUCGGAAUUAUUGGGCGUAAAGCGCACGUAGGCGGUUCGUUAAGUCGGAUGUGAAAGCCCUCGGCUCAACUGAGGAAGUGCACCCGAAACUGGCGAGCUUGAGUACGAAAGAGGAUCGCGGAAUUCCCGGUGUAGCGGUGGAAUGCGCAGAUAUCAGGAGGAACACCGAUGGCGAAGGCAGAUCUCUGGGCCGUAACUGACGCUGAGGAGCGAAAGCAUGGGGAGCGAACAGG
rnacentral:rRNA from 1 species